GUGCCAGUCCGUGCGUGCGCUUUUACCUAAUAAUAUUUCCACGGCCGGAGAGAGUUCCGUUCUCUUUCUCUCUCUCUCUCUCUCUCUUCUCUCUUCUCUCUUUCAUCCGAUAUACGCAUCUCGCGCGCUCUCUCUCUCUCUCUCUCUCUCUCUUCGCAUCCGUUUCUAUGUGUAUGUAUAUACAUAUCUUUCUCGCUCUCUCCCUCUUAGGGUUAGGCGUCCUCGCGUAGAAGGCUUUUCGCAUCGCGACCACCCUCCACCGCCCCGGAUCCGACGGGGAUUUCACGAAAGCGAGAGAGGAGAGGAAUCACACGCUGCAGAGCAGCACGUGUGCCGCACUCGCGCGGAUCGGCACAAGCGCGGUUGGUUAUAAUCAUCGUUCUUUUCCUCGCACCGCUUUCGCUCAUAAGUCGAACGCGAAAUUAGUCGCGCUCGAGAGGCUGACUGGACCGUCAAAUCCAAGAUAAAUCCGAGAGGUUAUUAACUCAUCAUAGCCAAUAGCCGCGAAAGUGAGAGGGGUGUUUUUUCGCGAGCGAGCCGAUUUGAACGGAUAGAUCGAUCCCCGCGAGUCGAAUCGAAGUGUUCGAUCCGGAGAGAGUGACGUAACCACCAACUCGCGGUUCGCGCUCGGCAACCUGUGCUUGUAGUAUAUGCGGGGUGCGACGAAAAACGAGACCAGCCAAAGGAUUCGCAGUGGUGCUUUCGCGGAACGAGGACGUCGGAGGGAGGACGGACACCGUCGGCCGUCGGCAGAUCUUGUGAACGGAAGUGUUCAAAGGCCCGAAGAUUCUGCCUUCGCAGCAGCUGGGCGCUGCGGUCGCUCCAUGGCCGGGCGCCACCGGCCUCAUAGCCUCCGUCACUGCUGACGAUAUGGCACACAAAGGACACAGCGGGGUGAACCAACUGGGUGGUGUCUUCGUCGGAGGCCGGCCACUUCCGGACUCGACGCGGCAAAAGAUCGUCGAGCUCGCACAUUCGGGUGCCCGACCGUGCGAUAUCUCCAGGAUACUGCAGGUCAGCAACGGCUGCGUCUCGAAGAUCUUGGGCAGGUACUAUGAGACCGGAUCUAUAAGGCCCAGGGCCAUCGGCGGUAGCAAACCGCGUGUGGCGACGGCGGAGGUCGUCAACAAGAUCUCGCUCUACAAAAGCGAGUGCCCGUCGAUCUUUGCGUGGGAGAUUCGAGAUCGCUUGCUGCAGGAGGGCGUGUGCACGAACGACAACAUUCCGAGCGUGUCCUCGAUCAACAGGGUACUGAGAAAUCUGGCUGCGCAAAAGGAACAGAGGCAGCAGCAGCAACAGCAACAGCAAGGGGUGGGCGCCGUGGGGGUUGGCGUCGGUGCCGGCAGUCCGGCGGAAAGCGUUUACGAUAAACUCAGGCUAUUAAACGGACAGACCACCGGCUGGCCGCGUCCCAAUCCCUGGUAUCCGUCGAGUGCGGGAAGCCCUUUUUCGUCGAUACAAUCUAGUUUGAGUCCGAGCCAUUGUUCAUCCCUGCCACCAGAUCCAGCAGACAUAUUGCAUGCGAAGAAGGUAACCGAGCUCGAGGGUGGCGCGCAUUCGGACGAGACGAACAGCGGAGGUGACAACAGUAACGCCGGCAGCGUGUCAGGCGGCGCCGACGACGAUCAGGCGCGUCUACGCCUGAAGAGGAAGCUGCAGAGGAAUCGUACGAGCUUCAGCAACGAGCAAAUCGACGCGCUCGAGAAGGAGUUCGAGAGGACGCACUAUCCGGACGUGUUCGCCAGAGAGAGACUCGCCGGCAAGAUCGGCCUACCGGAGGCGCGAAUCCAGGUCUGGUUUUCGAAUCGGCGGGCAAAGUGGCGGCGCGAGGAGAAAUUACGCACGCAACGGAGGGAUAAUCCGCCACCGCAGCAGCAGCAACAGCAGCAGCAACAGCAACAGCAACACACUGCCGGGGUUAGUCUGGUGGGUGCUGGUCACCCGACGCCGCCACCACCCUCGGGAAUACUCGGAGGCCAGCCACCACCGCAGGCACCACCCUCGCCCCCCAGAAUACACCAUGGAUUCGCGCCCACCGCUGUAUAUCCCGGAAUACCCAGCAUGCCCGACUCAUACAGUAAAAGAGGAAACGAUCGCGUUGAUGCAUCGCGUCAUGUCAUUCCUUUUUGGCAUUACAGUCCAAUGACGUCGAUGCCGAGCUUUACGAUGUCUGGUGCCAGUCAGCAGAAUCAGCACACGACGAGCAGCAUGUCUUCGCUGUCCACCGGGGGUGGUAUGAGCCCAAUGGGCAUGACCGUGGGCAUGACCGUCGGACCGAGUCCCGGUGCGUGCCUCCAGCAACGGGAUAACGGCUACUCGUGCGGGGUCGCGAGACCACCGAGCUACGAGCCUCUUCAUCUAGGCUACGGCGCCAGGCCCACUUGCAGCCCCACGCAGCCCUAUCACGCGGCGGGCCUCAAUCAGUACAAUCAGAACGCCAGCUCGACCGGUGAGUGUCUACCGCACUCACUGCAUUCGCUGCUUGCACUCUAGCCGAUGGACUACUACUACGGCUACCAUGGAUAACACGCUAUCGAGCCCGCCGGUCUAAUAUCGCCGGGCGUGAGUGUGCCGAUCGCGGUACCAGGUCAACCGGCGCCCGACAUGGCGGCGCAAUAUUGGUCACCGAGGCUGCAGUGACCGUGGUGGUCAUCGACGUCGACCUCGUCUCCGUAGACUUGAGCUUCUUCGUCUAUCUAGUUUACGUUACCGAAAAAGAACGGCACACACGGUUACGCUUGAUCGUGGCGCGAAGUCUCCGCACUUUAUGAUGUUGAUUGUUUGUGCGUGCGACUCUGUCUCGUAGCAAAAAUCAAAGUGAUCUAUCACACCCGUGCGUUUCGUUUAAGCCAAAGCUCUGCAUGGAAACGAGUUUGAUUUGUCCGUGUUCGCGUCCGCUGCUUCCGUUUCUGUAAGGCAAUGAAUGCGUCAUGAACAUCAUUUCACACACACAGAAACUUUUCCCCAAAGAGACAACAUUGUCCAUGAAUUCGUUUACUUGUGUGAGAAAAUCAUCCGAGGCACAAAAGAAUCUGUUCUAUCUGAGAUCUGAAUAAAUAUUCGUCGAGGAUAAAAAAUUAAAUUUUUAACUAAAUGAUCGAAUCUAUUUAUGUAUUGAUAAUAAAUCGAUGUAGUAAUUGUAUAAUUGCAAUACAAAUGUGACACAUGCCGAAUUGGGUUACAAUAGGCGGAUCAAUCAAUUUCUGUGUAUGAUGGUGUGAAUCUUAUUCAUCGUUAAAAUUAAAUUUCUAAUAUCCUGUAUUAAAAAUUAAUAUUUACAUUUAUAAUUAACAUCUUCCCGAUCAAGUCCCUUUAUAAUUUUUAGGUAAAUAAUAAUACUGCUUUUUCGCACUUUCACUAACAAUGUUAAUAAUGUACACGCAAAGAGAUAUUUCUUUAUUUCGAGAUGCUUUAUCAAAAUCCAAUGACUCGUAAGAACGUACGAUCUUUGUAAGACAUAUGUCAAAUAAUUCGCGGUAAUUUUUUUAUAUGAUAUAUCACAAUAUCAAUGAUCGGCAAGGUGUUAUAUGGAAAAUCUUCCAAAAUAUACAUCUACGUAUAUGCACACUUUUAUAAUUACACAGCUUCAUUUUAUUCGUAUACGAUUAUACUUCCAAUAUCUUGGAAAUAGAAUCGGGCAAGAUGAGACGCGGUGAAAAAAAAAAAUAAAUCAUCGGCAAUGUGCAACUCGUGUAAAAAUAAUUAGCGUGAAAAUCAGAGAGGAAAAAGAAAGAAAAUCGCUCUCGAGAAUUCUCGCUGUUUUUAUUCGCAACGUUUCGUAGAUGUAAUUCUUGUAGGCGAGAGAAAGGGAAAUAAAAAUAGUUUCUAAGUCGGUAUUAUGUUAUUAUUUAUACUCGUAUAAAACAGAGCGGAGAGAGACAGGAGAUAAUAAACGUGAGUUUGUUGUGUGUACAUCGUAAGAAUAUCUCGAUCCAGUCAUUUAUAUAUAAAUAUAUACAUAGUUGACUCUAUAAUUCUCUAAAUACAUUUAAAAUCAAUUCGUAAUUUAUAUCCGGUGCAAGGUUCGUGAGAAAAGGGAGAGAGAGAGAGAGAGAGAGAGAGAGAGAAAGAGAAGAACCGAUUGUGAUUUCCCUUAGGCCAGAUAUGUUAAGCGUACGAUUAUGCAUUCUAAAUAAAUAGUGUGUACAUUUAAUCGAGAGUUCUCUCGAUGCUUGUUUUCUAAUCGGAGAAUCCGUUUGCGAGAUUUUAGCGUAUACAUUCGUCCUUAAUAUAUCAAAUAUUAAUUGCCGAGAGUGUAAAGCAACCAUGUAUCUAAUACUGGAUAUCAAUUGAUCAAGAUAAGUAACGAUCGUGUGAUUUCCUAUUAGAAAUCAAGCGCAAUUCUUUUCCGGACGUGUUCAUCUCGAUUCGAUAAUUCAUAUGUAUCUCAAUGCCGUUUCGUUAAUCCUCCUAAUAAUCGAUAAUCAAUAAAGAUAUCAAUGAUCCCUCCUGCAUCGUCCAAAUCGAAACAAUUGAACCAAUUAUAAGAGAUAAAGGAAAGCGGAAUGUGUGCAAGCAGAAAGAGACCAUCGUUUUACCUUGCAAAUGUAACAAUUGUAUAUUUAUUUCGACUUAAUAAUUAAUUUACAUUCGAAGACAUGUGUAUUUCCUAAAUCCUCAUUAGAAACUAUCUCAAUUGCGAUAUAGAUCUGCUGGCGCGAUUAACCCUGGAUUAUUUCUACAAAUAAAAAAAAGAAAACACUCGUGGGUAAGAUUAAAUUAGCACUGAUAUGACAAAGUUGUGCUUUGAUUAUAAUCAAUUAAUUAUAAUAUAAAAUCGACAAAAAAAUUAUAAAAAUGUGCAUAUUUAAUUCUUUUUUUGGACUUAUUUAAAAAGUUAUACUUUAUAAUAUAUUAAUGCACUAUUUAAUAAUAAGAGAAGUAAUACCAGAGUUAUAUAAAGCCCA